rnacentral:rRNA from 1 species
AUGAACGCUGGCGGCGUGCUUAACCCAUGCAAGUCGAACGAUGAAGCCCAGCUUGCUGGGUGGAUUAGUGGCGAACGGGUGAGUAACACGUGAGUAACCUGCCCUUGACUCUGGGAUAAGCCUGGGAAACUGGGUCUAAUACUGGAUAUGACUUCUCAUCGCAUGGUGGGGGGUGGAAAGAUUUAUUGGUCUUGGAUGGACUCGCGGCCUAUCAGCUUGUUGGUGAGGUAAUGGCUCACCAAGGCGACGACGGGUAGCCGGCCUGAGAGGGUGACCGGCCACACUGGGACUGAGACACGGCCCAGACUCCUACGGGAGGCAGCAGUGGGGAAUAUUGCACAAUGGGCGCAAGCCUGAUGCAGCGACGCCGCGUGAGGGAUGACGGCCUUCGGGUUGUAAACCUCUUUCAGUAGGGAAGAAGCGAGAGUGACGGUACCUGCAGAAGAAGCGCCGGCUAACUACGUG